rnacentral:rRNA from 1 species
UUGUAAAUGGCCGCAGUAUUUUGACUGUGCUAAGGUAGCAUAAUCAUUAGUCUCUUGAUUAGAGGCUGGUAUGAAUGGCAAGACGAGAAAAAAACUGUCUCUAAAUAAAAUUUACGAAUUUCAUUUCUUAAUGAAAAAGUUAAGAUGAUUUUGAAGGACGAUCAGACCCUUUGGAGCUUUAUCAAGAGAAUAUUUUGUAUUUAUUUUAAAAAAUGAAAAUAGAAACUUGAUUUUGUUGGGGCGACAAGAAGAAAAAAAUAACACUUCUUUUAUUUACCAUAAAUUAAUGAAUUAUUGAUCCUUAAUGAGAGAUUAAAAGACUAAGUUACCCUAGGGAUAACAGCGUAAUCUUUUUGGAGAGUUCUUAUCGAUAAAAAGGUUUGCGACCUCGAUGUUGGAUUAAGAAAUUAGCAAGGUGCAGAAGUUUUGCUGGAAAGUCUGUUCGACUUUUAAUUUCUUACAUGAUCUGAGUUCAAAC